UACGAAGGGGGCUAGCGUUGCUCGGAAUCACUGGGCGUAAAGGGUGCGUAGGCGGGUCUUUAAGUCAGGGGUGAAAUCCUGGAGCUCAACUCCAGAACUGCCUUUGAUACUGAGGAUCUUGAGUUCGAGAGAGGUGGGUGGAAUUCCUAGUGUAGAGGUGAAAUUCGUAGAGAUCCGGAGGAACCCCAGAGGCGAAGGCGGCGCCCUGGCUCGCAACUGACGCUCAGACACGACAGCAUGGGGAGCGAACGGG
rnacentral:rRNA from 1 species